rnacentral:rRNA from 1 species
GACGAACGCUGGCGGCGUGCUUAACACAUGCAAGUCGAACGGAAAGGCCCUGCUUUUGUGGGGUGCUCGAGUGGCGAACGGGUGAGUAACACGUGAGAAGCCUGCCCUUGACUUUGGGAUAACUUCAGGAAACUGGGGAUAAUACCGGAUAGGAGCUCCUGCUGCAUGGGGGGGGUUGGAAAGUUUCGGCGGUUGGGGAUGGACUCGCGGCUUAUCAGCUUGUUGGUGGGGUAGUGGCUUACCAAGGCUUUGACGGGUAGCCGGCCUGAGAGGGUGACCGGCCACAUUGGGACUGAGAUACGGCCCAGACUCCUACGGGAGGCAGCGGUGGGAAGUAUUGCACAAUGGGCGGAAGCCUGAUGCAGCAACGCCGCGUGCGGGAUGACGGCCUUCGGGUUGUAAACCGCUUUCGCCUGUGACGAAGCGUGAGUGACGGUAAUGGGUAAAGAAGCACCGGCUAACUACGUG